GCAGCCAUCCUUUAAAGAGUGCGUAAUAGCUCACUAGUCGAGUAUCUCUGCGCCGAAAAUGUACCGGGGCUAAACAUAUUACCGAAGUUAUGGAUUUAUAAUUUAUUAUAAAUGGUAGGGGAGCGUUCUAAGGGCGCUGAAGGUAGAUCGUGAGGACUACUGGAGCGCUUAGAAGUGAGAAUGCCGGUGUGAGUAACGUAAGGUAGGUGAGAAUCCUACCCACUAUUUGACCAAGGUUUCCAGGGUCAAGUUCGUCUUCCCUGGGUUAGUCGGGACCUAAGGCGAGGCUGAAAAGCGUAGUCGAUGGACAACAGGUUUAUAUUCCUGUACUGCUUAUAGGACUGAUGGAGUGACGGAGAAAGCUAGGAAGAGCCAGUUAUUGGAUUCUGGUCUAAGCGUUUAGGUUGAUGCACAGGAAAAUCCGUGAUAUCGAUAAGACUGAAGCGUGAUGGCGACGUGGUCUACGGACCGCUAAGUCUUCUGAAGCUAUGCUUCCAAGAAAAACUUCUAAAGAUAUGUUAUAAGUACCCGUACCUAGAACCAACACAGGUGGUCAAGGAGAGUAUCCUAAGGUGAGCGAGAGAACUAUGGUUAAGGAACUCGGCAAAAUUACCCCGUAACUUCGGAAUAAGGGGAGGUUUCUUCGGAAACCCGCAGUGAAUAGGUCCAGGCAACUGUUUACCAAAAACACAGGUCUCUGCUAAAGCGUAAGCUGAUGUAUAGGGGCUGACGCCUGCCCAGUGCUGGAAGGUUAAGAUGAUUUGUUAGGUGGACGAAAGUCGAUAACACCGAAGCUUUGAUUUGAAGCCCCAGUGAACGGCGGCGAUAACUAUAAUCGUCCAAAGGUAGCGAAAUUCCUUGUCAGGUAAGUUCUGACCCGCACGAAAGGCGUAAUGAUCUGGACGCUGUCUCAACCAUAGACUCGGUGAAAUCUUAAUACCUGUGAAAAUGCAGGUUACCCGCGACAGGACGGAAAGACCCCAUGGAGCUUUACUGUAGCUUGAUAUUGAAGUUAGGUAAUUUAUGUAGAGGAUAGGUGGUAGACUAUGAUGUAUGGACGCCAGUUCAUACGGAGUCGCCCUUGGAAUACCACCCUUAAAUUAUUUGACCUCUAACUUACUCCCGUUAUCCGGGAGGAGGACAGUGUCUGGUGGGCAGUUUGACUGGGGCGGUCGCCU
rnacentral:rRNA from 1 species